rnacentral:rRNA from 1 species
CCUACGGGAGGCAGCAGUGGGGAAUAUUGCACAAUGGGCGAAAGCCUGAUGCAGCGACGCCGCGUGAGGGAUGACGGCCUUCGGGUUGUAAACCUCUUUCAGCAGGGAAGAAGCGAGAGUGACGGUACCUGCAGAAGAAGCGCCGGCUAACUACGUGCCAGCAGCCGCGGUAAUACGUAGGGCGCAAGCGUUGUCCGGAAUUAUUGGGCGUAAAGAGCUCGUAGGCGGCUUGUCACGUCGGGUGUGAAAGCCCGGGGCUUAACCCCGGGUCUGCAUUCGAUACGGGCUAGCUAGAGUGUGGUAGGGGAGAUCGGAAUUCCUGGUGUAGCGGUGAAAUGCGCAGAUAUCAGGAGGAACACCGGUGGCGAAGGCGGAUCUCUGGGCCAUUACUGACGCUGAGGAGCGAAAGCGUGGGGAGCGAACAGGAUUAGAUACCCUGGUAGUCCACGCCGUAAACGGUGGGAACUAGGUGUUGGCGACAUUCCACGUCGUCGGUGCCGCAGCUAACGCAUUAAGUUCCCCGCCUGGGGAGUACGGCCGCAAGGCUAAAACUCAAAGAGUUAGACGGCGNGAGAGAGCGACGACGACGACGAGGAGGAGGAG